rnacentral:rRNA from 1 species
CAAGUUACAAAGGGCGUAUGGUGGAUGCCCAGGCACUUAGAGCCGAAGAAGGACGCAGCGAGCGGCGAAACGCUCCGGGGAGCCGCAAGCAGGCAGAGAUCCGGAGAUAUCCGAAUGGGGAAACCCGCUUAAGGUAAUACUUAAGCAUCCCAUGGUGAACACAUAGCCAUGAGGAAGGGAGACCGCGCGAACUGAAACAUCUAAGUAGCGCGAGGAAAAGAAAGAAAAAUCGAUUUCCCAAGUAGCGGCGAGCGAACAGGAAAGAGCCCAAACCAUCACCUAUGGUGAUGGGGUUUAGGACCACGCAAAAGGAGUAUCAGACGAAGCCGAACAGACCUGGAAAGGCGGGCCAAAGACGGUGAAAGCCCGGUAGGCGAAAGGAAGAUACCCAAGUGGGAUCCAGAGUACCACAGGAUAGGCAACCCGGUGGGAAGACGGGAGGACCAUCUCCCAAGGCUAAAUACUACUAAGUGACCGAUAGCGCAAAGUACCGUGAGGGAAAGGUGAAAAGAACCCCGGGAGGGGAGUGAAAAAGAACCUGAAACCAUAUGUCCACAAGCAGUGGAAGUCUGGCACUCAACUGAACAUGUUAGGGAGGAGAAAAAAGAACUAGCGUGUCCGGUUGAGUGCCAGACGACCACGUACUUUUUGUAGAACGGACCGGCGAGUUAUAGAUAUGCAGCAAGGUUAAGCGAAAGCGGAGCCGAAGCGAAAGCGAGUCUAAAAAGGGCGGAAGUUGCAUAUCAUAGACCCGAAACCGUGCGACCUACCCAUGAUCAGGGUGAAGCCGGAGUAAGAUCUGGUGGAGGCCCGAACCACGUUGACGUUGAAAAGUCAUGGGAUGAAUUGUGGGUAGAGGAGAAAUUCCAAUCGAGCUCGGAGAUAGCUGGUUCUCCCCGAAAUAGCUUUAGGGCUAGCCUCAGGGAGUAAAUAUGGAGGUAGAGCACUGAAUGGGCUAGGGGCCAAAAAGGCUACCGAACCCUAUCAAACUCCGAAUGCCAUAUUGAUACCUGGGAGUCAGACUACGAGUGAUAAGAUCCGUGGUCAAAAGGGAAAGAGCCCAGACCGACAGCUAAGGUCCCAAAGAGCAUGUUAAGUGGGAAAGGAAGUAGGACUUCCAAGACAACCAGGAUGUUGGCUUAGAAGCAGCCAUACAUUCAAAGAGUGCGUAAUAGCUCACUGGUCGAGAAAUCCUGCGCCGAAAAUAAACGGGGCUAAAACAUGACACCGAAGCUUCGGAUGAAAAAUGGUAGGGGAGCGUACUGUAUAGGGGGAAGGAUAAGCGGAAGCGAAUCUGGACAAUACAGUAGAGAGAAUGCCGGUAUAAGUAACGAGAGUAAGGCGAGAAACCUUACCGUCGAAAGCCUAAGGAUUCCUGGGGAAGGAUAAUCCGCCCAGGGUAAGUCGGGACCUAAGCCGAGGCGAAAGCGUAGGCGAUGGACAACCGGUAAUGAGUCCGGUACCACCAAUAUCCGAUAAAAGAGAAGCAAGGACGCAGCGAGAUAAGAAAAGCGUGCGGUUGGUAGAGCACGUCCAAGCAGCGACGAAAAGGGAUGUGAGUGAAGUACCACAUACCAUAAGAGCUGUAACGGGGAGCCGAAAGGCGAAGUUUCAAAGGGGCUGCCGAGAAAAAUUGCUAUCGAGGAUAAAGGUGCCCGUACCGCAAACCGACACAGGUAGGCGAGGAGAGAAUCCAAAGACGAGCGGGAGAACCCUCAUUAAGGAACUCGGCAAAAAGACUCCGUAACUUCGGGAGAAGGAGUGCCGAAAGGCCGCAGAGAAGAGGCCCAAGCGACUGUUUACCAAAAACACAGGUUUCUGCUAAGUCGAAAGACGAAGUAUAGGAGCUGACGCCUGCCCGGUGCUGGAAGGUUAAGGGGAAAUGUUAUCCGGCACUCAACUAUCUUAGUAGAUAGAGUUGAGUGCCGGAGAAGCAUAGAACUUAAGCCCCAGUAAACGGCGGCCGUAACUAUAACGGUCCUAAGGUAGCGAAAUUCCUUGUCGGGUAAGUUCCGACCUGCACGAAAGGCGUAACGACUUGGGCGCUGUCUAGAUGGGGGACCCGGUGAAAUUGUAGUACUCGUGAAGAUGCGAGUUACCCGCGACAGGACAGAAAGACCCCAUGGAGCUUUACUGCAGCUUGUCACUGGAUUUUAGUAAUCCCUGUACAGGAUAGGUGGGAGGCAGAGAAAGAUGGGCGCAAGCCUAUCUGGAGCCGACGUUGGGAUACCACCCUGAGAUUACCGAAAUUCUAACAUAGGAGCCGUAAGCCGGCAUAUGGACACUGACAGGCGGGCAGUUUGACUGGGGCGGUCGCCUCCAAAAAAGUAACGGAGGCGUCCAAAGGUUACCUCAGCGCGGAAGGAAAUCGCGCGUAAGAGUGCAAAGGCAGAAGGUAGCCUAACUGUGAGAAAAACAAUUCGAGCAGGGACGAAAGUCGGGCUUAGUGAUCCGGCGGUAGAGAAUGGGAUUGCCGUCGCUCAACGGAUAAAAGCUACCCUGGGGAUAACAGGCUGAUCUCCCCCAAGAGUCCACAUCGACGGGGAGGUUUGGCACCUCGAUGUCGGCUCAUCGCAUCCUGGGGCUGAAGUAGGUCCCAAGGGUUGGGCUGUUCGCCCAUUAAAGCGGUACGCGAGCUGGGUUCAGAACGUCGUGAGACAGUUCGGUCCCUAUCCGUCGCGGGCGUAGGAAAUUUGAGAGGGGCUGCCCUUAGUACGAGAGGACCGGGGUGGACGAACCGAUGGUGUACCAGUUGCGUAGCCGUACGCACAGCUGGGUAGCCAAGUUCGGAAGGGAUAAACGCUGAAAGCAUCUAAGCGUGAAACCCACCUCAAGAUAAGAUUUCCCAAACCGAAAGGGAGUAAGACACCUUGAAGAAGACGAGGUAGAUAGGCCGGAGGUGUAAGAGUAGAAAUACUUUGAGCUGACCGGUACUAAUAAGUCGAGGACUUGACCA